GAUGAACGCUAGCUACAGGCUUAACACAUGCAAGUCGAGCGGAGCGGCGGACGGGUGAGUAAUGCCUAGGAAUCUGCCUGGUAGUGGGGGAUAACGUCCGGAAACGGGCGCUAAUACCGCAUACUAUCAGAUGUGCCCAGAUGGGAUUAGCUAGUAGGUGGGGUAACGGCUCACCUAGGCGACGAUCCCUAGCUGGUCUGAGAGGAUGACCAGCCACACUGGAACUGAGACACGGGCCAGACUCCUACGGGAGGCAGCAGUGGGGAAUAUUGCACAAUGGGCGCAAGCCUGAUGCAGCCAUGCCGCGUGUGUGAAGAAGGCCUUCGGGUUGUAAAGCACUUUCAGCGGGGAGGCGUUACCCGCAGAAGAAGCACCGGCUAACUCCGUGCCAGCAGCCGCGGUAAUAC
rnacentral:rRNA from 1 species